rnacentral:misc_RNA from 1 species
CGUAACACCGUAGGUGAACCUGCGGAAGGAUCAUUAACACGUAUCCAACGUUAAAACAACCCCGUGACUUGCUCCUCCCGUGAAAGCAGCAAUCCCUGGUAAAUCAUUGCUGACCAGCUUUUGAGUCAGGGACCUCAGAUUGUGAUAUUUUAUAGCUACGGUUGAGCGAUUGCAUCUAGUGCUGGCAUCCCCAAGUAAUCAGUGUUCAUUGAUUGUGUAAGGGUGACGCAACACGGCCGGCGACCGGGUCACCGGGCUCUGCCCCUUUACGACAACUACAGUCUAACUUCGCGCGUGAAAUUCGCACGGCACCACAAACCGAACAACUGUUAACAAUGGAUAUCUUGGUUCUC